rnacentral:pre_miRNA from 1 species
AGUGAGAUAGCUGGGUCAAAUUGUUAUUCCACUCCCAGUUUUCCAAGGAAUCUCCACACUGCUUCCAGACUUGUUGACCCAAUUUGCAGUCCCACCAGCAAU